rnacentral:rRNA from 1 species
CCUACGGGAGGCAGCAGUGGGGAAUAUUGGACAAUGGACGAAAGUCUGAUCCAGCAAUGCCGCGUGAGUGAUGAAGGCCUUAGGGUUGUAAAGCUCUUUUACCAGGGAUGAUAAUGACAGUACCUGGAGAAUAAGCUCCGGCUAACUCCGUGCCAGCAGCCGCGGUAAUACGGAGGGAGCUAGCGUUGUUCGGAAUUACUGGGCGUAAAGCGCACGUAGGCGGUUAUUCAAGUCAGAGGUGAAAGCCCGGGGCUCAACCCCGGAACUGCCUUUGAAACUAGAUAGCUAGAAUCCUGGAGAGGUGAGUGGAAUUCCGAGUGUAGAGGUGAAAUUCGUAGAUAUUCGGAAGAACACCAGUGGCGAAGGCGGCUCACUGACGAGUAUG